UCAGGAUGAACGCUGGCGGCGUGCCUAACACAUGCAAGUCGAACGGAGAAUUUACGCUGAUGAAGCUUCGGCAGAUUCUUGUAAAUUCUUAGUGGCGGACGGGUGAGUAACGCGUGGGCAACCUGCCUCAUACUGGGGGAUAACAGCUGGAAACGACUGUUAAUACCGCAUAAGCGCACGGUAUCGCAUGAUACAGUGUGAAAAACUCCGGUGGUAUGAGAUGGGCCCGCGUCAGAUUAGCCAGUUGGCAGGGUAACGGCCUACCAAAGCGACGAUCUGUAGCCGGCCUGAGAGGGCGGACGGCCACAUUGGGACUGAGACACGGCCCAAACUCCUACGGGAGGCAGCAGUGGGGGAUAUUGCACAAUGGAGGAAACUCUGAUGCAGCGACGCCGCGUGAGUGAAGAAGUAUUUCGGUAUGUAAAGCUCUAUCAGCAGGGAAGAAAGACUCGUAAGAGAGAUGACGGUACCUGACUAAGAAGCCCCGGCUAACUACGUGCCAGCAGCCGCGGUAAUACGUAGGGGGCAAGCGUUAUCCGGAUUUACUGGGUGUAAAGGGAGCGCAGACGGUCAAGCAAGUCUGAAGUGAAACCCCACGGCUCAACCGUGGGCUUGCUUUGGAAACUGUUUGACUAGAGUACUGGAGAGGUAAGCGGAAUUCCUAGUGUAGCGGUGAAAUGCGUAGAUAUUAGGAGGAACAUCGGUGGCGAAGGCGGCUUACUGGACAGCAAC
rnacentral:rRNA from 2 species